AUGGGUAAUUUGGACUAGGGAAUUUUAUGAUGAUGUGAUCUUGAUAGUAUUUUUAAUUCAGUGCAAUAUUUUUUGUGGACAUUAUCUGCUCGUUAGUCUUUUGGGACUUGCAAAAAUGAUUCAGCUCCCACAUGCAGCGAUAAAAAUUAAGAAAGCUAAGUAGCACACCGAUUUGCCAUUCCGAUUGUGACGUCCUUCAAACAAGUGCAAAUAUUACGGCCAUGGUUUUUAAGAUUUGCAGGUAUCUCGUCCCUUAAAUGAUCUAAAUGGUUAACGAUAUUCGACAUUCAAAAGGAAGAAAUGAUUUUAAGCAGUUACUCCGCAUUAUGCAAUAUAAUACUCCUGCACAUAUUGCUAGGAAGGUAAAAUAUUUCCUCCAAGCGAAAGGAGUCGGUGGCUAAUCGAGACACCACGGUCACACGAACUCAAAAUAAUCGAAAAGUUGUGGGCAACACUGGCACGACAUAUCUAAGCCAAAAAAAAAACAAUACGGAACAGCGAAUGAGAAUGACAAAGACAAUUAUUUUAUAACUAGGGUGAAAUUCUCCUUUAAUAUACAAUAUUAAGGAAAUUAUACACAAAAAAUCCAGAAAGAAUAUGUGAAGUAUUAAAUGUAAUGGAGGUUCAAUUAAAUAUUUUUGAAACAAUUAAUACAUAUAGAAUAAACGAUAAAUAUAUAUGAAUAAAUGAAUGAAAUGAAACAAUAAAUAUAUAUGCAACCCCAUUAAUUCCUUCAAGUGUGCUAAAUUUUCUAUCCAUUUAAAAAUCAUGAAAUUCGCUCUAACAGUUAAAUCUUUGAGUAAAUUCCAAUUAUGUUCAGAUAGAAAUAUGUAUUUUAGUCUACUUGCCCAAUGUUUAGAUAAUCCAUAGAUAAUUUCCAGGUGCGCUACCUUUUUAACGCGCACUAUAUGAUUAA